UACGGAGGGUGCAAGCGUUGUUCGGAUUUACUGGGCGUAAAGCGCGCGCAGGUGGGUGUACAAGUCGGAAGUGAAAUCCCAGGGCUCAACUGGGGGCUGCGUUUGAUACGUGCGGACUUGAGUGCGGAAGAGGGUCGUGGAAUUCCCAGUGUAGAGGUGAAAUUCGUAGAUAUUGGGAAGAACACCGGUGGCGAAGGCGGCGACCUGGUCCGAUACUGACGCUGAGGCGCGAAAGCGUGGGGAGCAAACAGG
rnacentral:rRNA from 1 species